CGAGUGAAGCGGCAAAAGCUCAAAUUUGAAAUCUGGCACUUUCAGUGUCCGAGUUGUAAUUUGAAGAAGGUAUCUUUGGGUCUGGCUCUUGUCUAUGUUUCUUGGAACAGAACGUCACAGAGGGUGAGAAUCCCGUGCGAUGAGAUGUCCCAGACCUAUGUAAAGUUCCUUCGAAGAGUCGAGUUGUUUGGGAAUGCAGCUCUAAGUGGGUGGUAAAUUCCAUCUAAAGCUAAAUAUUGGCGAGAGACCGAUAGCGAACAAGUACAGUGAUGGAAAGAUGAAAAGAACUUUGAAAAGAGAGUGAAAAAGUACGUGAAAUUGUUGAAAGGGAAGGGCUUGAGAUCAGACUUGGUAUUUUGUAUGUUACUCUCUCGGGGGUGGCCUCUACAGUUUACCGGGCCAGCAUCAGUUUGAGCGGUAGGAUAAGUGCAAAGAAAUGUGGCACUGCUUCGGUAGUGUGUUAUAGUCUUUGUCGAUACUGCCAGCUUAGACUGAGGACUGCGGCUUCGGCCUAGGAUGUUGGCAUAAUGAUCUUAAGUCGCCCGUCUUGAAACACGGACC
rnacentral:rRNA from 1 species